GAUGAACGCUGGCUACGGCUUAACACAUGCAAGUCGAGGGGAAACGACGGGGAAGCUUGCUUCCCCGGGCGUCGACCGGCGCACGGGUGAGUAACGCGUAUCCAACCUGCCUCUGACUGAGGGAUAACCCGUCGAAAGUCGGCCUAAUACCUCAUGGCAUCGUCUGCGGGCAUCCAACGACGAUUAAAGAUUUCAUCGGUCAGGGAUGGGGAUGCGUCUGAUUAGCUUGUUGGCGGGGUAACGGCCCACCAAGGCUACGAUCAGUAGGGGUUCUGAGAGGAAGGUCCCCCACAUUGGAACUGAGACACGGUCCAAACUCCUACGGGAGGCAUCAGUGAGGAAUAUUGGUCAAUGGGCGAGAGCCUGAACCAGCCAAUUAGCGUGCAGGAUGACUUUCCUAUGGGUUGUCCCUGCUUUUUGCGGGGAUAAAGUGAAGGACGUGUGGUGCAUUGCAGGUACCGCAGGAUUAAGGACUGGUGUAAUUCCGUGCCAGGGCCGCGGUAAUACGGAAGGCCGGGGCGUUAUCCGGAUUUAUUGGGUUUAAGGGAGCGUAGGCUGUUGAUUAUGUGUGUUGUGAAGUGCAUGUGGUCAACGUCUGCUUUGUGUCGUGAUGUGGGUUUGUUGUGUGGUGCGCACUGUGGUGGAAUUCUGCUGGUGUGGUUGAAUGCUUAUGUGAUGACUUAUAAUUCCAUGCGAAUGUGUUUGUGUGAAUCCUUGGAUGCUGUAGUUGUUUGUGUUGGCGUAUGUGGUAGUUUCCUU
rnacentral:rRNA from 1 species